rnacentral:lncRNA from 1 species
ACGGAGGCACUUUUGCGCUCGGAUCGCGCAAAACUUGGGAAACCACGGGCUUGCCUCAUACAUGUGGCGGCUAAUAUUCGAGAAAGAACAAUUCCACCUUUAUCGAAAUAUUCUUGUGGAAACUUAGUGUCAAUGGGACUUGAGGAAUACGCUGCAGAAGAAACCAAGAGUUUGGACUUUGAACGCUUGGUUCCUAUAGUGGAUAGUGCAACAAGAAAAGCCGUUGCGGAAUGUACCAACUUAUUGUCUGAUGGUGAGUUUGGAUACAAAGUCAUGGUUGAUGAAUAUAUCGAUAUAUGUGAAAAAUCGAAUGACGAUAACUUGAACUGCUUAUGGUUUACUGACUGGUCUAAGUUCGGAUAUUAUGAAAAGGAUUUUGGUUUCGGAACACCCAUUUGGACAAGCAUUGUGAAUAUUCCAGUGAAGAACCUUAUCAUAUUGAUGAAUACCAAAGAGGACGAUGGAAUUGAAGCAUGGUUGCAUUUGCACAAGGAAGACAUGCCUUAUUUCGAACAAGAUGAGGAAAUCAAAAAACUCGUUACUUAGUUUCAAAAAGUCAUCGUCAAUGAGAUUCAAAUGAAGCCAUCGUUUGUGGGAGUCAAAUAAAGUGUCUUGUAAUUUUAUUUCAGCUUCAUUUGGAGUCUUGGACGAUGAGGAAUCUGCUGUAACUUAAGAAUAAAAAUUUUAUCCUUUCAUAUUAGAACUUUUAACUUUCAAUUUUAACAUAAAAUUAAAGUAUCAUAGUACACAAAAAUCCUCCAUAUACAUUCUAUUUAUAUAUUUUGACAACUCGAUAAAAGUUCGUUCUUUAUCUCCCUGUGGUCAUGCCCAUAAAAAGAGAACCGGCCGUAAACCACAUAAAUAUUAUCUUGGAGCCGAGUAGCAUUGAAUGUAUCCGUAAGAAGGGAAGGCAAUAUGACUUUAGAUUAUGGGGAAAAAUUGGUGAUUUGUGUAUAUUCAAGGUGUAUCUCAAGUUAUAUGUAUCAAGUGGCAUGAAAAUCAAUCCCUUUUAUAGGGAAAAUUUUAACCCUACAUUCAUGGAAAUAAAUCCAACUUGUAUACAAGUUACACUAUAGCAUUAAGGGGUUUUAAUUUUGUUAAAAAACCGAAAAUUAAAUGAUUGAAAGAUUGACACUAAUUUUUACUUCUAUCAUUUAUAUCUAUUUUUCUUCCAAAAAUUUUAGUGGUAGCUAUAAGAAUUAUAGAUAUUUCUCACCACCUCCUUAAACCAUUCUCCAAUUAAUUAUUAGGAGCUUAAGGCAUCAUUAUGAUAGCCCUUGCUGAAUUCUUUCAGCUCAUAUACACACAAAGUUGUGCAUAUAAAUGUGAUGCUAGAAAAGAUUUAACUCUAAAUGUGUGUCGAAGCGAAAAGCGAGAAUUCUUGCGAGGUGUAGGUCACACGCACCCUUGGAGGACUCACCUAUAUAAGAGUUGCCAUAAAGUUGUGACUAUAAGAUUGUGCUAUUCUCUAGUGACUUACUAGAAUCAAGAUUAGAGCGCAUAGUCAUUAAGAAUGCUACCCGCUAUGAACUAGAGCAUAAAUUAAUACUGUAUGUGAAACAAUUGAAGUUUGGUCAAAGGGACGUAAUUCAAGGCUAUUAUAGCUCCCUCAAAAGGAAAUUAAUAUCGCUAAGUGAGGUUCAAGUCCAAAAGACACAUACACACACAUAACUUGAGACACAACUUAAAUACACACAAAUCACCCAUUUCCCAACGAAAUCUUGUUUGUUAAUUAUACGUUGUUUCUGUUUGAUUGUGUUUCAUCAAUAAUAAUGUUUAUAAGGUUUCUAUGUGAAUUUUAUGUCAUUUCUUUGGAUGCAGUUUGUUCUGGAUAGUCAACAGUAUAAGAAUGUCUUCAAGAGGUUCUGUAUUUAUAAAUAACAUCUUACGCGUAUUUAAGUGUAUCUUUAAAUUUAGAUAUUAAAUUUUUUUUAUAGACUCCAACAAUUCUGUGUUUUGACUCUUCCUUUUUUUUUUUUGUUAAAGAAAAUGAUUUUUCCUCAUUUUUGUUGAACAUAUAUAUUUAUUUUUUACACGCGAUAUGUUAUUAAUUCAAAUAUGAUUUGAAUUAUUUAAGAAGUAGAGUAUUGAAAUCUGUGAUGUGUAUUGCAUGAGGUUUCAACUUUACUUAUUUUAAUGGCUUUUGUGCAGUUUAUUUUAGGCUUUUUAAUUGUUAAUUAAGUUAGGAUUAGAUUUUUUUUUUUUUACGAGAUUGCGAUUUUUCUAAUUAUAACUGUCUAAACUCUAAUCAUGCUUUGCUUUCAAUUCUUGGUAUUUGAUGCUUCAAACCAACGAUAUAUUUCAAGUUCUUGAUAUUGGUGCACAAACCCUCAAAUCUUAAUUUAUUGCUUAAUUUUUUAGUCUUAUGAAUAUAUGGAUAGUAAAACAUGAUCAUGCUGAGGUAAUUGAUGGGAAAUCAACGAAGAUAUCGAUCGCGUUUUGUUCAAUGCUUUAUGUUUGUGCUUACGCCACGUCAUUAUCUGUGACAGUUGACAAACCCACUAAUCUAUGGUUCUUCAGCCCUGUGCAAAAUGGAAAAAGCGUACCAGUGGAUGAUAUAUUUGAUAUAGUAUUAAAUGAUUUUUGGGCAUAACUCAUUAAUGACACUUAUAAUUGUUUAUUCAAACAUGGUAAUGUCUUAUAUAUUGUAAGAAAGAACCUGUGUUGGUUCAUCGUGAUAUUUAAGUAAGAUUUUAUGUUGGUUUUUAUAACAGUGACCAUUUACGAAACUUCUAUAAAUUUCCACGAUCAAUUGUAUAUGAAAAACAAUUUAUUGAUUUUGAAAUUUUAUACAAACAUGAGUUAUUGUUGAUGAAAUAAACUGAGAAUCUAAAUUACAUUGCAAUUAUACUUUUGGAGAUUGGAGAAAAGGUUCAGUGAUUGAUAGUAGGGAGAAAUUAAAUGGUAACAAAUUUAUUUUCAUAUGCAUUGUCACAGGAUCCAUUCCCGAUUAUAUUUACACAAUUUUUAUUUCUUACACAACAUUUUAAUUGCAUUUAAUGUUCUUAAUCUUUGUUAAUUAUAGCACUUAUGUCCCUAAUAAUUUUUCAUAUCAUUCUUAUUCUCAAAUUUAAAUUAAUGAAAUACAUCGUGAACAAAACUCAUCCUUUAAAGUAAUGACCAAAGUAAAGACCCACAUGCUUACUAAAUCGAGAUUCAAUUUUGGAAAUAAACUCAAUGAAUACAUAAGAAAGACUCAAAUUGUUUAAAUUUUCAUUAAAAUCAAUCAUUAAGUAUACUCUCUACUUCUCGGCCAGCAAAAUUAUAAAAUAAUAUGAACAUUAAGUUAAAUUUAUCAAAUAAAUUAAGUAUAUAGAUAUUUAAUUUUAUGUUACAAAAACCAUAAACCCAUAUAUGGGAAUUUGGAGAGAGUUCAUAAGUGUGAUUUUUUGCACUUAUCCGAAUCUAGGAAAGUGAAUAUUUGGGAGUCACUUUGAUGGAAUUACUACAUAAUUUAGCUAUAUAUUGAUUGUUAUAGAAUAAAUUAGAUGUUGAAGGCUAAUGAUAAAAAGAAGGAAAAAAAAAAGACAAAAUUUAACAAUUCUAGAAGUUUGGAAACUUAAUUACAAAUCUUUCAAACAUGAUAUGAACCAAAGAUGGAAAAUUAAGGACGACGUGGGCCAAAUUGGAGGCAUUUGAAGAUGAAGGAUCCCUAUUUCAAACUAGGAAGCAUUCAAGUUGAACAAAUGAAGGAAUAUAGAAACUAAAAUGGAAAAGGCCAAAAAGAAGGCCUUGCGAUUGCAAGGAACCUUCCAUGUGAUCGCAAGGUGGUUUGACUAUUUGCUUGUGCUACAAUAGUAGCCACGCCAAUUACAAUAGUCAUAACAAUGUGAUUGCAUGGUUCUUUCCGGUGUUUCUUUUAUCGAUUGAGCAUCUUUUUGGAAUUCAAGUCAAACUCUUUUCAAUCUACUUUUUUUUGGGGGGGGGGGGGGGAAAAUUUACCAACUUUUUAUUUGUAGAUCCACAAUAUCUCGUAAAAUUAACCCCAACUUACAACGUAUCAAACCAGUUGGGGGGGGGGGGGGGGGGGGACAAAUUUUUAGAUACCAACCUUUAGAGAGAAAACAGGAGGAAAGAUACAAAAUUAUACAUUCAUAAAUGCAAACUCAUUUUUAUUGAAUGAAUUUCGGAUGAAGGAAAUGAAUGCAGAAUGACAUUAUUCAAGAAGCAUUGGAGAAAUAAUUCUCAAGUUUUCCUUUCUUUCUUUCUAUAAUUAAAACUCGGGUGAUAUCUCAAUAUUCAAUUAUGUAUUUUUGUUACUUUAUGAUGCUAGGCUAAAUUUCUAGUCACUAAGGAUGAAUACAAACUUUUAUUUUGACAUUUUAAUUCCAAUUUCGAGACUUUGACAUUUGAUGAUUGUUUUAGCUUGAAUAUUUUUUAUAAGUUUAAUGCUUUCAAUUAAUUUUCUAAUAAUUAAAUUGAUUUGUGAUCUUUGUUUAUUUCAAGAAAAGAAUAAGGAUUAUAGUGCGUAACAACGAUCAUUAUAAAGUACAAUAUGGGAUAGAGAUAUACCAUUAUGUCUUGCAUGAUUUAAAUGAAUGUUAUUAUAUUUUAAUAAAUGUUUACAUAUUUGCUUCCAUCAUAGAGAUAUAAUAUGGUCAUAUGUGAGAUUAGAUUUAAUUAUACUUGAGAGUGAUUAUUGAAAAAAAAUAGGAACAUUGAUCGUCAAAUUUAAACGAAUGUUAUCAUUAUUUUGAAUUGUUGUUGAAAUGAGACAAUAAAGGGAGAUUCGAAGUCCUGAUCCUUUUCAUUAGCUGAGUUUAUAAAAAUUUCUUACUAGGUCGUUUAGUUUAGCUUUUAGAUAUUUCUACAUUAAUUAGCUAUAAUGCAAAUCAAUCAUAUUGCCCUAUUCACUUAGAGACAGUUUAAUUUAAAUCAAAUUAAAUACUUGGUCCUCAUGGGAGUGAUAAUUUAUUUACAUUAUAUUACUUGAUUACAAUAUCACACACGAAAAAAAAUUUAUCAAUCAAAAUUUUUGUGUCCUUAGAUUUAAGAGGAAUCAUGAAAUAUCAAGUCAUGCUAAGGUUCGUCUUUGUAUCGAAUUAUAUAAUUUGUUCCAUCGUUUGUGUGUGCCCUUGUCAUUCAUUUGAAUUUCAUUCUCGCAAAAGUACUCCUCGAGAUACUUAACUCAUUAGCCACGAUACUAGACAAAUUGAUGCGCACAUUACCUAGUAUCCUUCAUUUACGACUAUACUACUCGAAUAUCAAAUCUCAUUCGCUCCCUUAGCUUUCAUCUCUUAGUCUUGUUAGUGGGUUGGCAUUUAACUCGUAUCUACCAUUGGUGCUUGACACGUUUCGAAUCCAAGAAAGUGAUUCAUAAUGGGUCAUGUCAAACUCUCUAUUUAUAAAGAGUGUUUUUUGCAUAUUAGAGAGAAUCUUAAAUUUGUAGAAUAACUUAUAUUUAUAAGCUCUAUAAUACUCUUUAUUUUAACAAGUAUGUUGGUUGUUCAUAGGGAAACCAUUCACAUGUAAGGGGGUGGGUGAAUUUUUUAUUUUUUAUUUUUUAAAUAAUCACCCACCCCCCACUCCACCCACCUCAGAUGUGCCUAGUCCACAAGCCUGUACAGCCAUCAUUUUACUUAUUUUAAGGAAACAUAUAUUGAUUUCUUCAUCUUCUAUUAACAUAUAUUUUUAACAUGUCGUUGGCUAAUUAAUUAAAAUAUGAUCUGAAAAAAGAAGAGAAGUAAUUCGCCAACAUUAAAUGCGAUUAUUGUAUAGUAAGCAUAAGAAGUGGGGUCUCCCUGUUUGGACAGCUGUGGGUACGACUAUAUGGGUGAGCUUUUGGUAUGGGAAUCUCCUCAAAAUCUUGAAAAUUAUUAGAAAAAUCUGCUACUCCAAUCUCCUCGUCUUCCGUAAUAACAUUACGGUCUCCAAUUUCCUCUUCACCUUCUUUUAUAAAUUACUUGGAUCAUCCAGCUUGAUAUUAGUUAAUGAAGAAGAUAAUGAAUUAUUUUGUGCAGCACCAACUGCCCCCACCAAACAACGUGAAACAUGCAAAACUAUAGUCUUUUGACGUGCGUUGUUAAGCAAUGGCCACCAUAUAAAUAAAUCAUGUCAUGCACCUUCUAACUCGCACAUUGAAGAUUUGAAGUCUUCUUAAUUACCAUUUUAUUAAGGUAAGUAACAUAGACACUGAUUUCUCGCGUAUCUAUUAUCAGAUAUCUUGCUUUAGAAAUUGAUAAUAACAUAACAGUGUCUGCAUUAUUUUGUAGCAUCAGAAUGAAGGUGAAGAUUUUGAGCAGAAAGUUGAUAAAGCCAUGCACACCAACUCCGGAGAAUCGUCGAAGUUACAAAAUUGCAUCCAUCGAUGAGAUUAAUCCAACUAUGAAUGUCGUUGGCAUUCUCUACUAUCCAUUCAAUGACAAAAUGGAACAUGUACUUAAAAAUAUGGAAGAAUCUCUGGCCCAAGUCUUGCCCCAGUUUUACCCUUUUGCCGGAAGAUAUAUCAAAAAGGCAUACUCGGUUGAUUGUAACGAUGAAGGUGCUGAGUACGUAGAAGCUCAAGUGGAUUGUGAGCUUCUUGAUAUUAUUGGCUCUGGGGUGGAACCUGGGGAGCUAAAUGAUCUUCUUCCACUAGAAGUCGGUGCUGCUGAUGAAUUCACAGAUCCAAUUUUGUCCAUUCAAAUAAACAAAUUUAAAUGUGGAGGGAUAGCCAUUGGUGCAUGCAUUUCACAUAGGAUUGUUGAUGCAUGUUCACUUGGCAUAUUCUUAUCUGCAUGGACAAAGGCCACCCGAGGAGACUCCACUGGUGAACCCAUUAUCCCAAAUUUUGAUUCCCCAUUUUACUUUCCAGGUCGGAAUCUAGGUGAGCUUGAUUUUGGAACCUCAAGAACUAGGGACUCUAACAUUGUGACCAAGAGGAUCUUAUUCGGUAAGAAGGUGAUAGCAAACCUAAGAGACAGAGUUAACCACUUGUACGUAAAAAGAGAACGUCCACCCUCGAGGGUGUUGAUGGUUACUUCCUUUUUAACGGAGGCACUUUUGCGCUCUGAUCGCGCAAAACUUGGGAAACCACGGGCUUGCCUCAUACAUGUGGCAGCUAAUAUUCGAGAAAGAACAAUUCCACCUUUGUCGAAAUAUUCUUGUGGAAACUUAGUGUCAAUGGGACUUGAGGAAUACGCUGCAGAAGAAACCAAGAGUUUGGACUUUGAACGCUUGGUUCCUAUAGUGGAUAGUGCAACAAGAAAAG